UUUGUGUUCUACUGAAGAAACAAAGACACCUACAUCUUGGAUGCUCUGGGGCUUCUGUUCUCUUCAUGACGUGUGUCUCAGCAGGAGGAGGGAAUAAUAUAUAUACCAAUAUCAAUAUAUCAGUGUACCGUGGAAGAGUGAUUUCAUGAGCUGGCUUGCCCUACCGACCGGCAGCACUGGCCUAUGAUGACUGGACCGCCAAGGGCACGGUCCUGUAGAGACUGUACAGUUGCCAUCCACAUCAUGGAAAAGAACACAGAAAGGGUCAGACUUGGAUGCCACGUCGCGGUCCAGCAGGUUGGAGCCACAGACUGAGAGCUCUACCUUUGUGAUGCAGUGCUGGGGCCCAAUGGCAGGACCCGCGUCG